rnacentral:lncRNA from 1 species
GCCAUCUUGAUAAGGGAGUUUCGCAAUAAAGCAUUUGCCGGGUGGGUGACUGAUAGCAAAGCUGUGUUUCCUGGGGAAAAGUGUGGCAUCUUCAGUUUACAUCAACUUGCUCUCAUCUGAGACAAAACUCUGUGUGUCCCUGCUGCGAUGGAUGCCAGAUAGAGCCUGCUUGCCUAGGAUGGGGACAGAUGCCAUUGGAAACAGAUGCUGGUGAGUCCUUCCUCAGAAAUCCGGUCCUUGCACUGCCUGGGAAUACAAACAGAUGCUCUGUGGCACUUCAUUAUUGGAUUGCGAGCACAUUGAUGUUUCAUAAAGGGCAUUGUAGAGUAAUGUUUGCCAUGCUCCAUGCCAAUUGCGGGCUGAGAUUGCUACAGCAUCAUGGAACAGAUGGAAGUUAAAGUCGUAGCUAAGCUCCAGUCUCCAUUUCUUUUGAUGAAGAGCUCCAAAGAUAGCUUUAAGUGAACUUUCAAAGCAAAUUUACAACAGCGGCCAGUACUUUUGCAAGAUCGCUGGAGAGAAUUCAUCAUCAGAAUAGAGAUUGCAAGACCAUCACGAUGACUUCACGUCAGUGCCAGCAUAUGCAGCCGUGGAAUACAGUGAGCGCUCUCUGCGGCUGACAGCAAUAGCGGUGAUCUAAUUUACCCGGCGACUGGAAGAAACUCUUUGUACAGGCUCUGGGUCCCUUUGGAUUAGUGACUUCAAGGUCAACUGGAGGAGAAAGGAAGCAGGGCUGAGGGUCACCCUCUCCUGUCUCAUUUGCAUGCUCUUGAAUAUAUGAUUUUAAGAAACAUGCGUUUUUGAUCUGCAAUGUAAAAAUUCCUCAAUGAUUUUUUGUACAGAUGUGCAGAAUACAGGAAUGAAAUAAAAUAUUGAG